rfam:Pseudopedobacter saltans DSM 12145 chromosome, complete genome.
UCGGGUGCCUAUAUCGGCGGUGUCCACCUCUUCCCAUUCCGAACAGAGCAGUUAAGCCCGCCAGAGCCGAUGGUACUGCAGUAACAUGUGGGAGAGUAGGUCGGUGCCUUAC